AUCGGAGAGAGCGGCUUUUCCCUCAGUCUGGCUGCGUCUUUCUCCUUCCUCUCACAUAUGCGUCUCCUUGGAUGCACGGCCUGAAGGCUCUCAGCCUUCCUGAGGUGUGAGAGCCCACAAAGGCCUUUGCAGCUCCUGAUACACAGCAGACAGGUGGCACCUCUUGGGCAGUGCUGAGGGUCCGUUUGCUGUUCCAUGUUGUGCCCACUGAUUGGGGGCACGAUUUAAAAACUUGGUUUAUCGUUCCCUGAUUCAUUUCAAUGCAUUAUUUCAAAUGAAUGAAGAAGAGCUUCAGGCUGUGUAAGACUAACAAUUGGAUGGCUUUGCUUAUGGAUAUACCUAAGAUAUCACAAUGAUUUUUUAUGUAGUUUUUUACCUAACUAGAAAAUGAAUGGUCUGUUUCCAUGGGACCUUUUGGACCCCAACUGUUGUUCAGUCCUCAGGGUUAUCUGAUCAGAAUUCCAUCCAGGAAAACAGAAAGAUAUCGGCGUGUCUGGACUGAGGUGAAAAUUAGGUACCAAGUCCAGGGAAAAAGAACACAAAAACUAUUUCCAAUCUGAAGGAAAUAUGAUCAGAAAACGCAGAUUUUGUUGAAAUUGGGCAUCACGAUAUACCUUUACCUCCUAAUUGUCCAUAAGGAUGCAGUACGAUUACCAUGGAUUCUGGCAGGCAUGCAAAAAAUCCCAGCAGUAUGCAGUCACUGUGUGUCUGUGUGACUUUGUACAACUAACAUCACCUCUGCACUUCAUAAAUCUUACCAGAAAAGCCUAUUUUCUCAGCAGCUAAGACCUGGUUUUGUGUGGGACUGUGCAUGAUAAAUUAGAUUUGCCUCAAUGUGGGGACUUUAUGUGAUCUUCAAUUUCCCAAUGCAAUCCUCGCCUCGUCCUUUGCACCCACAACAUUUACACAGAUUGAUUGGACUGCUACUGCAACAGAAAAUCACCACUGCGAGGAGGAGCAGUUCUCUGCAUAAAUCCUGCACGACAAAGCCACGGAGAUUUGCAAAUACCAGUACUGAGGUAGGUGAGCAAGGAGUAAAGCUGAGGGCAGUACUACUUCUGCCUGUGGAAGUUUAUCAUGUGGGGCUGAUGGGCUUAUUGUAUGGAGGCGUGACAGGAAAAGUGGCAUCUCAGUAUAGUUAAAUGCAAAGUCCCACUUGAGGACUCCACCAAACAGUACUGAUGAAGAAAGUUAUGUGUAGUAACCUGCCAGCUGAAUGCCCAUUAACUAAAAUGUGGAGUGCUUUAAUUGUAGUGAAAGAAAACAAAUGCCACUGUUGGACUCACCAGCAAGAAAGAGGAUUAUUGACUAUCAACACUCCUCCCUGCAUACUCCCAGAACCAACAUACAGUGCAGUAAACAGUGUUUUAAUUGGGAGUAUAAAACAUGGCCUAUUCUAUGCAGCACGGGCCUUGUGAGCUAAAGAGCACCUCCAGAAGGCCAAAUGUUUGGGGGGGUUUUGAUUUAAGUCAUCUCAAGAAUCCCCGAACUAUUUUCCAUUGCACCCCUAUAGUCAGAAGUGAGAGUAAUAACUGACAAGUCUCAUUUUUACUUUCUUCAUGAGCCCUUCUUCUGCAGUGAGGAUACUUUCCACCCUCCCCCUGGACCUGGGGAACUCAGAUAGUCACAGACAUUCACCUUGCUUGAAAAAGGCUGUCAUAUUUUCUGGUUGAUAACUUAUUUUAGUCAUCUUGCCUUCCUUCUGCAGGCGUAAGGUUUAACUGUUUUAAUAUAAGCAUGGUCAUUUACAAAUGGCCUUAACAGCACUUCUGUUUCUAUGUUCUUAAACACAACUAUUACAAUGACAGCUGAUUGAGAACGACACCAAGCCAAAGUUUUGGCUAUACUUUUAUUUACUUCACAUACUAUGAACAUAUACAUUACAUGCUACAAAAAAAAAUAAUUAAAAAAAAAAAAGACUUUAGCUGUCAAGAAAGUGGAUAGUGUUAUAAUACAAUGGCACAUGUUCAUAUUUCUCUUCAAACUGGUUUGGUUAGAAUCCUUCCCCAAAACCAUUAACAAAAACGAAGUGUUUUAUUCUUAAGAUGAUUAGAAAUAUUUGCAUUAUUAACAAAUACAAUUCAAACAGAUUAACAAGAUUUAACCAGGUCAAAUAUUAGUAAAAAGGCUGGGAUUUACCAAAAUGAAAUCUAUAUUAAAAAAACAUAGCAGCCAGUUGUACUUUUAGUGUGAUAUAAUGUGUAAAUGCACCAGAAGAACACAGUGUAAUUGAGCAUUCUGCUUUCACGGUGUAUUUCUAGAAAUGAUUAUUCUAGUUCUAACACCUGCCUAUGCACAACAGAGCAAAACCACAGCCAGACAGAGACAGAGGAUUGUGACCAACGUUCUUCGCAAUGAUUCUUUGCACGCAUUGGGAAGAAGGGAGAGAACAGAAGAGGAUAAACAAAGGCCACAGAGGAUUUAAUCUACAUGAUCAUGAACGUAAGUUCUACCUAUUGUCCUUUAAAAGAGCUCGGUAAGUUGAAAUGUCUAUUUUGCACAAAUGCAAACGUUAAUUUCUAUCACCUAUGGAAAAAAAAACCCCACAUUUCAGCUUAGAACUGAACAGUGGAAAACAGCUGCAUGGAUGCAUUGGUUGACUAAGAAAAACCGCUUGACAAGAACUUAGGAUUCUACUGCAACAGCAGCUAUUAAGACUCCUAUAGUUUCUUUUUUGCUCUUUCAAAGUGUACAAAUAUUUGCAAUUUACACAGUCCUCACAAAAACACAUCUACAAACUCCGCAGGGUAUUUGCUAGUUAGCAACUCCAUGUAAGUCCUUCGUAUUAAAAAGGCAAGGUUUGCAUAAUAAAAUUCCUUUCAGGAAAAAAAAAAA